GGGGUCGUAGCUCAGUUGGUAGAGCGUCUCGUUCGCAACGAGAAGGUGGCGGGUUCGAACCCCGUCGACUCCACCA
rnacentral:tRNA from 1 species